UAAAGGCAGUGCUUUAAUGCCUUUCUAGUUGCCGGGUUAAUCCUUCCUUCCGCGAUAUCCAACUUAUCUACGUGGGGGGUCAUUAAACUCUAAGUAGAUCCGGAAAUGUUGAAUUCUCUCCUCUUCUUAUUGCGAUAUAAAAUGUUUUUUGUUUCAUUUCAUUUACAUUGGGAAAUAGAGAAACGAUCAUUGUGUUUUGUUAGUUUUAAAAACUUUUGAUAUAUUAGUAUUUUGCAUUAUAAGCAGUCAACCGAUUGACAAACUAGAAUUAUUUGAAUUCCGUGUGGAAAGAGCUCGGGUUAAUUUCGAGUGUUAUCUGCAAUCUAGAUGUUUAUAAAUCAUUUCAGUCGUUGAUAUAAUAAUUAAAGGUCGACUGAACAUGAAUUAUAUUAUACAAUUUAAAGCGCAUUUCUGUUUAUGCACGUGAACCCGUCUAACGUUAUUUUCGCAGUUAUAUAAAGUAUCAAAUUAUCGAUCCUGAAUAGGUGGCGCCGUGGUAGCGGAUCCUGUUCCUCUUCUUCCGGUUUCUGCACUGUGCAACUAUUUCAGUUAUAUUUUUAAUUAACGAUGCCAAGUACUUGUUGUUGUGUACCUGGAUGUCAUUUAAGAGGAGGACAUGCAUUUCCAAAUGACUUAAAAAGAAGGAAAAGUUGGAUCAACGCCAUGGCCCAUACGCAGAUUGGACGAAAACACGAUGAUAUCGUGGAGUCCAUCUCAAUCAGCUGUUGUUUGCAAGGCACGUUUUACUGAAAAAGACUACGUGCAGGAAACUAUUCAUGGGCGCAAACCCACCAUACAGAGACUUAAGUCUACUGCAAUUCCCAGCCUAUUUUCCUGGACCAAGCAAGAGACUGAAUCGUCCGCUAAAAGAAAAAUCAGGGCAGUUUCCUGUGAAAACAAAAGAACUAAACUUGAUGAAUAUUGUAGUAGAAAUCUAGAGGAAAGUUUUGAUUGUAAAGUUGGUUUUCCUGAAGAAGUCAUUCAUAAUGCAGAAAGGAUUUAUGACUGUCCACCACCAACUGCCGAGCUAAUGUUGAGCUUCACAGAUGGAAUUACGCAAACACCAUCAAUGCCUAUGUUUUUAACAGAGAAUUUUGAAAUGAAUACACGUGACACAGCCAUGCAUUUUUAUACCGGUUUAGAGUUGUAUACUAAAUUUUUAUUUGUUUUGACCACACUUGGCAUGCUUGGUCCAGCAGCACAUUGUUUGAGAUACAUAUAUUUUCAAAUUGAUAGGGUGUCAGUUGAAAAUCAGUUUUUUUAUGACUUUGAUGAAAUUGAGGCAUCAUACAACCAACUUUGAACUGUCUAGAUUCUAGAUUGAAUCUAGUGUUAAGAAUAUUGUGUAUACAUGGAUUGUUUUUAUGUCUAAACAGUGGUGUGAGGCUAACACUUGGCCAUCUAGUGGUUUAGUCAGGUAUUUUUCACCAUCCAACUUCAAAUUAAAGUUUCCUACGACUUGGAUUAUUAUUGACAGCACAGAAUAUCCCGUGAUAAAACCUAAAGCUCCUAGAGCUCAGGCAACCUUUUCAUCAAAUAAAAACAGAAACACUGAAAAUUCUUGAAUGUUCGACACCUGGUGGUUUAGUCAACUAUGUCUCUAUGUCACAUAGAGCGAAUCAUUGGACUUGGCAAAACAUACAAAAUUUUAAUAAAUCCUAUGAAUGGAACUGAAACAAAACUUUCAUCUGAAAUAACAUUUAGUUGUUUUAUGUUGUGUAAUUUUAGAACUUGUAUUGUGCCAAAGGAUGCAUAAAUAAAAGUGACGCAAUGAA